UAGACGGAUAACUACACUACACGUGUAGUGGU
rnacentral:piRNA from 1 species